rnacentral:rRNA from 1 species
AACGAACGCUGGCGGCAGGCUUAACACAUGCAAGUCGAGCGCCCCGAAAGGGAGCGGCAGACGGGUGAGUAACGCGUGGGAAUGUGCCCUUUGGUCUGGAUUAACUCAGGGAAACUUGAGCUAAUACCGGAUAAGCCCUUCGGGGGAAAGAUUUAUUGCCAUUGGAGCAGCCCGCGUCAGAUUAGCUAGUUGGUGAGGUAAAAGCUCACCAAGGCGAUGAUCUGUAGCUGGUCUGAGAGGACGACCAGCCACACUGGGACUGAGACACGGCCCAGACUCCUACGGGAGGCAGCAGUGGGGAAUAUUGGACAAUGGGGGCAACCCUGAUCCAGCCAUGCCGCGUGAGUGAUGAAGGCCUUAGAGUUGUAAAGCUCUUUUACUCGGGAAGAUAAUGACUGUACCGAGAGAAUAAGCCCCGGCUAACUUCGUGCCAGCCGCCGCCGUAA